AUUGAACGCUGGCGGAAUGCUUUACACUUGCAAGUCGAGCGGCAGCGCGGCCUUCGGGCUGGCGGCGAGCGGCGAACGGGUGAGUAAUGCAUCGGAACAUGCCCAGUCGUGGGGGAUAACACUUCGAAAGAAGUGCUAAUACCGCAUACGUCCUGAGGGGGAAAGCGGGGGAUCGCAAGACCUCGCGCGAUUGGAGUGGCCGAUGUCAGAUUAGCUAGUUGGUGGGGUAAAGGCCUACCAAGGCGACGAUCUGUAGCUGGUCUGAGAGGAUGAUCAGCCACACUGGGACUGAGACACGGCCCAGACUCCUACGGGAGGCAGCAGUGGGGAAUUUUGGACAAUGGGGGCAACCCUGAUCCAGCCAUUCCGCGUGAGUGAAGAAGGCCUUCGGGUUGUAAAGCUCUUUCGGCAGGAACGAAACGGUGGGCUCUAACAUAGUCCGCUAAUGACGGUACCUGAAGAAGAAGCACCGGCUAACUACGUG
rnacentral:rRNA from 1 species